UGAGAAGCCGUCGGUUCAGGAAGGAGGCAGCAGCACCGUGACAGUCUCUGCCAACAGAGCGGGGGCGGCUCACCCGGGAGCCGUGCCAGAGGCAGACGAAGUGCCCUUGGAGAAGGUGGCAGAUCCACAAACAGGCAGUCGGACGGUGGCAGUCUCUGAGGAAAAAACAAGGCCAUUCCAGUCAACAGCCGUGCCAGGUGUGGAAGGUGAGAAAAACUCAAAGGCCGAGCGUCUUCUGGGAUUCCAGACCCAUUUCCUCAUAUUUGCCGGGACUUUCUUCUGCUUGUGCCUCCUGUUGUCCCUGUUGGUUGCUGUGAU